CCUACGGGAGGCUGCAGUGGGGAAUAUUGGACAAUGGGGGCAACCCUGAUCCAGCCAUGCCACGUGUGUGAAGAAGGCCCUCGGGUUGUAAAGCACUUUCAGUGAGGAAGAACGCCUGGUGGUUAAUACCCAUCAGGAAAGACAUCACUCACAGAAGAAGCACCGGCUAACUCCGUGCCAGCAGCCGCGGUAAUACGGAGGGUGCGAGCGUUAAUCGGAAUUACUGGGCGUAAAGCGCGCGUAGGUGGCUUGAUAAGCCGGUUGUGAAAGCCCCGGGCUCAACCUGGGAACGGCAUCCGGAACUGUCAAGCUAGAGUGCAGGAGAGGAGGGUAGAAUUCCCGGUGUAGCGGUGAAAUGCGUAGAGAUCGGGAGGAAUACCAGUGGCGAAGGCGGCCUUCUGGACUGACACUGACACUGAGGUGCGAAAGCGUGGGUAGCAAACAGGAUUAGAUACCCUAGUAGUC
rnacentral:rRNA from 1 species